GCCUUCGUGGUGUAGUGGUCAGCACGCUCGACGUGUAUUCGAGAGGUCCGUGGUUCGAGUCCUGGCGAAGGCG
rnacentral:tRNA from 1 species